rnacentral:rRNA from 1 species
UCUCCCGGGGCACAAGCCCCCUGAAGGAACCAUGUAGACUACGUGGUUGAUAGGUCAGGUGUGUAAGUACAGCAAUGUAUUGAGCUAACUGAUACUAAUGAUCCGUGCGGCUUGACCAUAUAACCUCA